CAUGCCUACGGGGCGCAGCAGUGGGGAAUCUUGCACAAUGGGCGAAAGCCUGAUGCAGCAACGCCGCGUGAGCGAAGAAGGCCUUUGGGUCGUAAAGCUCUGUCCUAAGGGAAGAAGGAAGUGACGGUACCUUAGGAGGAAGCCCCGGCUAACUACGUGCCAGCAGCCGCGGUAAUACGUAGGGGGCAAGCGUUAUCCGGAAUUAUUGGGCGUAAAGAGUACGUAGGCGGUUCUUUAAGCGUAGGGUCUAAGGCGAAGGCUUAACCAUCGUUCGCCCUGGGAAAUGGAGGGCUUGAGU
rnacentral:rRNA from 1 species